rnacentral:lncRNA from 1 species
UCUCUUCUCUUCUCUUUUCCUUCUCUCCCACCACCAACUCCGACAACCGUGCAGAACGCCUCGACACGUCGCAGCCCUCGUCUCGCCUCGCCGCACAUAGGUCCGGGACAAGCUCGACGCCGCCGCCACCUCCUCACCGCGGCAUCCCAGCUCUACCGCACCGCGAGCAGCAACACCCUCCUCCACGGCUUUUCGCCCUUCAGGGGAGGACUGCCACCUGCCAACACAGCCACCUCCGGUGGGUUGCAGGGCACGUAGAGGUCGCACAUCUCAGGGUCAACCAACAUGGAGUAGUCCAAGGACGAGAAGAAGAAGGUGUCCUCAUCCUCUUGGUCUCCGCUGUUGCCGAGACCGCAACCGAACGCGGCGAGCUCGACUGCCUCGGGGCAGCCCACGAACCCUUCACGGGCACGCGUGUUGCGCCCUCGCACCCGUCUUCGCAGUUCGCACACAGGAACUCCGACUUGCCUCCCUAGACUGCCACGUGUGUUGCAGCCGGGCGGCCGCACACCCGACACAAAGUGGCACGCACACGUGCUUCCGCGAGAGGCGCGUCGUGUCAGCGCGGUAGUGCAGCGCAGCUGCCGCCUCCAUGCAACAAUUGCACGGCCAGUGCUUCCAUGCCACCGGAGGACGAGUCGGUCGAGCAGAGCAGAGAACCCCGUGACGCCGGUGGGAGGAGGGGAGACGAAGGCAGGGCAAAUGGCGGGAUAACGAGAUUGUCUGGGGCUCAACGAUUGGUAUACUUUGCCCCCCCCCCCGAGCAAAAUUAGCGCUGACAAAUCUUCAUCUCGCGCAAAAAUAGUUCAUGGAGGGGCACCAUGGUUGGAGAUGCUCUAAGGCCUGUGUCAAUGCAUCGUCUCUUAGCACAUCAUAUGCGUAAUAAAAACAUAAGAAACAACUAGUACAAUGCAUUGUAUCUCAUGUAUUGUAUCUAAAUUUAAUGAUUUGUGACUCAUGCAUGCAUGUGAUUGGGUUAACAACUUUUUUUUGUCUAUGUUCACGUGUCAAGGUUGUAUGUUAGCUAAGGCUGGUUGUAAUGGGGAGUAUCAUAUACUAGUAUCAUGCAUAUGAUACUAGUGUAUGAUAGUACAUCUGUAAUGCAUAGAAUCAUAUAGUAGUAUCAUAGAACAAUUCAUUUAUUGUCAUACAUGACACAUAGUAACACAACAUUUAAUAUGAUACUGUAUCAUAAUAUAAUACUCAAUCCUUUUUUUCUUCAUUUAAUUCCAUGGCACCUCAUCAAAUAUGACUAGUUGACAUGCAUGAUACUACCAUUACAAUCAACCUAAGAUACAACCUCACUAUCUUUCUUUAUUAAAUAUAGUGCCACAUAAGCAAAAUUCCUAUGAAACCGCUAAGAGAGUUGCAUUGGCACAGACCUAAGGAUGAGCUGGGUCAUCUUGUGUUGACUGAGGAACAUAUGUGUGGGACUGAGACACGUGUGGCUCAUUGAAGACGCGGUUUAUUUUUCAAAAAAAUCAUCCGGUUCAAUUUAAGCCCCUGUUCGGCUCCUCUCCGCUCCGCAACUGCAGCUCCUGGAGCGGAGGGAGAGGCAGCACAAUUUUGAGGAGUCAUUCUGAUCGAGCUCCUCACGUGGAGCGGAGUUUCAGGAUUGGAGAGGUUCCGAACGCGCCCUAAGUGUUCUCCAAUUUUCAUUAGACUACUCACAAUGGGAAGUAACAUAGAGUAGUAACAUGCAUAUGUUACGGGUCUAAGUUACUACCUCUACAAUGGAUAGUAACAUUGAGGUAGUAACAUUGAGCCAUUCAUUUAUUAUCUUAUAGACUCAUCUUGCCUUGGUAUGCGUUAUGUUACUCCUAAUAUGAGUAACUACCUAAGUUACUUAAUUUCUCUCUCUUCUCAUUAAUUAGUUGUCACAUCAUAUUUUUUUGCUUAAGUGGCAUCUAUAUUACUACCUAUGUUACUUCCAUUGUGGGUAGUCUUAGAGCAUCUCAACCAGCGGCGCUAAAAACGCGCAUGAGCGGUAAACUGGGUUUUUAGCGAGUGCGGGACGAAAACGCGCGCUCUAGUGGACGCCGGAAAUUAGCGCCCGCUGCAAACAAUUGCGCGCACGCGGGAGAAAGCGGGCGGUCGCGCGCUAGAUUUGGCGCAUCGCUUCGGGCGCGCCUAUAAAUUGCGGCGCUCACCACGCGGCUUCCCAUCGCCCUCCCCACUGCCACGCGCGCUCUGCCGCUUCCUCGCCGCUUCCUCUACCGCACCGCCACCAAAGAGCCCCCAUCGAGCCACCAUGUCGCUGCGCCGCCGUGGAUCUUUGGGCUACACAGGCGUCCGCGCGCGCCCCUCCGGCGUCUACUACGCCGAGAUCCGGUCCGGCGACGUCCGCCUCGGCCNAUGAACUUCCACGACGUCUACACGCGCGAGCAGGCGCAGGCCGUCGCCCCUCCGCCUUGUCUGAUAACAGACCAGGACCGUGAGGACCAUCGUCGGCGGCAGCGCCGCCUCCUCAUCGCUGAGGAGGAUGAGCGAUCCAUGGCGUAGUGGCGCCGGCGCCACCCAGAGGACGUCGCCGUCGAAAACGCCUUCUGGGCGGAGAGGACAACAAGGUGCCGCGAGGAGCGGGAUGACAGGCGUCGGCGCAAGUCACUGGCCUUAUCGCAACGCAAGGUCGUCAACAACAAUGGAACGUCGUUCUUCGGGAGUGACGAUGAACGUUGGAAUGAUAUUUGACUCGAUACCUCGGACACCGAGGAUGAUGAUGAUGAGGAGCAGGAGGACACGAAGUAGGUUCUAGUAGUUACACCAUAGUUUUUAUCUAGUUGCAUCGUAGUUUUUUAUCUAUCUAUGCAAUGUAUCAUUUUAUCUAUGUAUUGUGAAAUAUCUAUGUAUCGUUUUAUCUAUCUAUCUAUGAAAUAUCUAUGUAUAUCUGUGUAUUAUGCGAGAGCGCGCGCGUUGCAUUUUAGCGCGCUUGCUAGAGACCCGAUUGGACCGGCCCAAGUCAGCGACCAGUAGCGAAUCUGGAGACCACAAAAAAAGUUAGCGACCAGCAGUUGAAAAAUCUGAAACAUUUCAGUAAAAAUAUCAGAAUAUAUUUUUAAAAUUCCGGAACAUUUUUUUAAAUUUCGGAACAUUUUUUCAAAUCCAGAACAUUUUUGAAUUCUGGAACAUUUUUUAUAAUUCCUAAACAUUUUCAAAUUCUGGAAUAUUUUUUAAAUUUCAAAAAAAAAUUCAAAUUCCGAAACAUUUUCUCAAAUUCCGGAACAUUUUCAAUUUUUCAAACCUUUUUUCAAAUUUCGGAACUUAUUUUUUGAAAAAUUCAAAACAUUUUAAUAAAAAUAUGAAACCAUUUUUUUAAAUUCCAGAACAUUUUUCAAAUUUUGGAACAUUUUUUAAAAUCCUAGAACUUUUUUCAAAUCCAGAACAUUUUUUUGAAUUCUUGAACAUUUUUUUAAUUCUGGGACAUUUUCAAAUUUCAAAACAUUUUUCAAAUUGAGAAACAGUUUUUUAAAUUUCAGAAUAUUUUUGGAUAAUCCAGAACAUUUUAAAAACAGAAACAGAAAAGAAAGAAAAAAAACCGGUUUAGGGAAUUUUCUAAAAAGUUUCCAAAACCCAAAAAACCGUCUGAUAACCUUUAAAAGGUUUUCGAAACCGAAGGUGUUGAACAUGUAAAUGGACCGGCCCAUUUAUGAAUACCCGUGUGCGAAGCCUCGACAUUUCGACAGAGAAUGCGACGAAUAAGGAUUUCCCUCCCUUCCCACCAAAUCCGCGUGGCCCUCCGACGUCGGUUCAUCUCCGACCACGACUGGAAAAAGUUCGAACCGCCACCACACGCACCGACUCCUUCCUGGAAACCCAUCGCCGCCACCAGCUCCAUGCCCUCUGUAAAUACCACACGAGCCCCCAAUGGUUUCCCCGCAUCGUAGGGUUUGAUUGAUUGACUUCUCCUCUCCGUUCCACCUCCCGUCGUCGGGUAAGCGCAAGUACGGUGUUCGUAAUCGGUUCCGAUCUCGCGCUCCCUUUUCGCUAUUCUUCGUCUGAUUGUAUUCCAGGCUAGGGUUCUGUCUUGGUCGAGGUGCUCCUCCCGUCGAUGUCGAGGUCUAGCUAGUCCCGGUGUUUUCUCCUCGUCUGUUCCGUUGAUAUUGGUAUCGUGUUCUGAACCUUGCUGCUUUGGUUUAGGGUCGAGGCUAAUCUACUUUGAUUUGACUUCUGAUCUGAUUUAGGGAUCUAUCAUGCUCUGGUUGCGAUGUGAUUUAGGGUCGCGUCUUAUCCUUUAUAUUAUUAUCAUGGUCAUGAUUGCUUAUUGGAUUUAAGGUUGUGAUGAGAAAUGGAGAUUAUAUUUGGCGUGAAUAACGAGGUCUGUCGGUAUAGAUACGUGGAGGUGGAGCAGUUUGUUUUGUUUCAUUUCUGUUUGUUCUGGAAUCUGGAGGAUUGGUCUGGUCGGUUUAGUUGGUUCCGUGGAGAUGUUUGACAUGAUCCGAAUGAGAGAUUGAAGGUUGUGGUUUCAUUUUGGCUUGGUCAGUUCAAGGUGUUUAUAUUUUUGUGGCGAAAAACAACGGGUUGGAGACAGUUCACAGUCAAAAUUCUGCUGUUAUUUUUGCUUUUGAUCCCGUUCCUUCAUACUUGGUCAGACUCAAUAAAAAUUGGAGGAAGUUGGAAAAAGGUUUGCUAGGUCUAUUUGGAUAUAUUUGCUUUCGCCUAUCAGCCUAUACACGUCAGAUUAUAUGGAAAGGAUUGUGCUAUAUUACCAUGUUAUAAACUGUGUUGACAUGUUCAUGGCGGAGGUGAUUCUUCAGUGGCUAUGUUUUGGUGUCAACUUUGGUUUGUUUCAUUUCAAGAUUCAUAGGAAAAUCGGAGGUGCUUGUUUUGUUUGCGUUCUAGAUUUAAUUUCUCAGGAAGCACCUUAAAUGAACAUGGAAGUUUGCUUUUGAAGUGAUCUGUUUGAAGGUUGUUUCAACUACAGUGAAGAUGCUCUUGGUUUGUCUCUGCAGAAUUACUUCACUGUUGCUGUGUUUUUCUUUGGUGGUAUGUCAAGGUGUAUUCAGAUGCUGGUUACUGUGUUGGAAUCUACCAAUCCUUCUGAUCACUAGUUUGUGUGUAUGAUUUUCUAAACGGAUAUUUGGUUGGGCUUCAGCUGGUUUCAUGUUCUGUCCGGUGUUGGAUUAGUCUUAGGUUGGUAAUUCGUAUUCUUAUUGUAAUCUGCAGCCAUGUUUUGUUAAUUAGUAUGUUCUAAUGCAAUUUAUGCUGUACACAAUUGUCAAUUAUGCAUCUGGUCUGAUGUUGCGAACUGUAACUGAUGUAAUUGUUGAAUGAUAUGUAUGGAUGCCUUAAUUUAGCCUUUCGUCGUCUGUCCAGUGUUGGAUUAGUCUUAGGUUGGUAAUUAGUAUUCUUAUUGUAAUCUGCAGCCAUGUUUUGUUAAUUAGUAUGUUCUAAUGCAAUUUAUGCUGUACACCAUUGUCAAUUAUGCAUCUGGUCUGAUGUUGCGAACUGUAACUGAUGUAAUUGUUGAAUGAUAUAUAUGGAUGCCUUAAUUUAGCCCUUCGUCGUCGCUUGGUUGGGUGUAUAAAAGCUAUAACCAAAUAGCAACUGAAUUUCAUAGCUUGAUGUUCUUACUCCCUGCAUAAGUUACAUUUUUAUUCAUUUUGCUUGGUUGGGGUGUAUAAUAGUUGUAACCAAAUAGCAACUGAAUUUCAUAGCUUGAUGUUCUUCCUCCCUGCAUAAGUUACAUUUUUAUUCAUUGUUAUCUGUUAAAAUUGAAUGGAGAUUGUUGUGAGCAUCCUGUUUUUCUAGUUGCCAUGAUCUCAAUUUAGUAAUGUUGACUAUUGACCUAACAUUCUGAACUUUGCUCCGUUAUCCUUUGUUAUGUUGUCCGUUCAUCCGUUUGGUCAGUUUAACUGUGAAAUAUGAUGGUUGUAUUUUCUUAUUCUGUCCUAUAAGUAUGCCCAAGAUUCAUUAUUAUCAC